rnacentral:rRNA from 1 species
AACGAACGCUGGCGGCAUGCCUAAUACAUGCAAGUCGAACGAGAUCUUCGGAUCUAGUGGCGCACGGGUGCGUAACGCGUGGGAAUCUGCCCUUGGGUUCGGAAUAACUUCUGGAAACGGAAGCUAAUACCGGAUGAUGACGUAAGUCCAAAGAUUUAUCGCCCAAGGAUGAGCCCGCGUAGGAUUAGCUAGUUGGUGGGGUAAAGGCCCACCAAGGCGACGAUCCUUAGCUGGUCUGAGAGGAUGAUCAGCCACACUGGGACUGAGACACGGCCCAGACUCCGAGGGGAGGCAGCAGUGGGGAAUAUUGGACAAUGGGCGAAAGCCUGAUCCAGCAAUGCCGCGGGAGUGAUAAAGGCCUUAGGGUUGUAAAGCUCUUUUACCCGGGAUGAUAAAGACAGUACCGGGAGAAUAAGCUCCGGCUAACCCCGG